rnacentral:lncRNA from 1 species
AUAUAUAGGCUGGGGCUACUAUACUCAUAUGAGUAUAGAGUCUUUUAUACUCAUAACUUUUCGGCCGUUCAGAUGAAAAAAUGUACGGUUGGGAUGAGAGUAGUUACGAUUAGGUUGAUAGUGGGCCCCUAGGGUUGAGUGGAUGGUUGGUUGAAUAGUAUAAUCUAACGGAUGAAAAUGAUUAAAGGGUAGAUCAAACGGUAAAAAAAUUAUGAGUAUAAAAGGCUCUAUACUCAUAAGAGUAUAGUAGCCGAACUCAUAUAUAUAUAUAUAGUAGGGCUAUUGUGCUAUUAGGAGCACAACAAAUCUUGUGCUCCUAAGUUCUCAACCGCCCAUCAAAUUUGAUUGGUGGUUAGGGUGAAAGAGAGAAGAGAAAUUGA